rnacentral:rRNA from 1 species
CACGGUUUGUUAAGUUAGAUGUGAAAGCCCUGGGCUCAACCUAGGAACUGCAUUUAAAACUGGCAAACUAGAGUAUAGGAGAGGAAAGUGGAAUUUCAGGUGUAGCGGUGAAAUGCGUAGAUAUCUGAAGGAACAUCAAUGGCGAAGGCAGCUUUCUGGACUAAUACUGACACUGAGGUACGAAAGCGUGGGUAGCAAACAGGAUUAGAUACCCUGGUAGUCCACGCCGUAAACGAUGACAACUAGCCGUUGGGAGGGUUUACCUCUUAGUGGCGAAGCUAACGCGUUAAGUUGUCCGCCUGGGGAGUACGGCCGCAAGGUUAAAACUCAAAGGAAUUGACGGGGACCCGCACAAGCGGUGGAGCAUGUGGUUUAAUUCGAUGCAACGCGAAGAACCUUACCUGGUCUUGACAUACACGGAACUUUCCAGAGAUGGAUUGGUGCCUUCGGGAACCGUGAUACAGGUGCUGCAUGGCUGUCGUCAGCUCGUGUCGUGAGAUGUUGGGUUAAGUCCCGUAACGAGCGCAACCCUUAUCCUUAUUUGCCAGCACAUCAUGGUGGGAACUAUAAGGAGACUGCCGGUGAUAAACCGGAGGAAGGCGGGGACGACGUCAAGUCAUCAUGGCCCUUACGACCAGGGCUACACACGUGCUACAAUGGGAAGGACAAAGGGUUGCUAAGCCGCGAGGUGGUGCUAAUCUCAUAAACCUUUUUCGUAGUCCGGAUCGGAGUCUGCAACUCGACUCCGUGAAAGUCGGAA